GAUGAACGCUAGCGAUAGGCCUAACACAUGCAAGUCGAGGGGCAGCAUAGAGUAGCAAUACUUUGAUGGCGACCGGCGCACGGGUGAGUAACACGUAUGCAACCUACCUACAUCAGGGGAAUAACCCGGAGAAAUUCGGACUAAUACCGCAUAAUACAGGGAUGCCGCAUGGCAAUAUCUGUUAAAGAUUUAUCGGAUGUAGAUGGGCAUGCGUUCCAUUAGCUAGUUGGUAAGGUAACGGCUUACCAAGGCAACGAUGGAUAGGGGAACUGAGAGGUUUGUCCCCCACACUGGAACUGAGACACGGACCAGACUCCUACGGGAGGCAGCAGUGAGGAAUAUUGGUCAAUGGACGAGAGUCUGAGCCAGCCAAAUCGCGUGAAGGAAGACUGCCCUACGGGUUGUAAACUUCUUUUGUACAGGAAUAAAAGACAUUACGUGUAAUGUAUUGCAUGUACUGUACGAAUAAGCAUCGGCUAACUCCGUGCCAGCAGCCGCCGUAA
rnacentral:rRNA from 1 species